GUGGCGAGCGGCGGACGGGUGAGUAAUGCCUAGGAAUCUGCCUGGUAGUGGGGGAUAACGCUCGGAAACGGACGCUAAUACCGCAUACGUCCUACGGGAGAAAGCAGGGGACCUUCGGGCCUUGCGCUAUCAGAUGAGCCUAGGUCGGAUUAGCUAGUUGGUGAGGUAAUGGCUCACCAAGGCGACGAUCCGUAACUGGUCUGAGAGGAUGAUCAGUCACACUGGAACUGAGACACGGUCCAGACUCCUACGGGAGGCAGCAGUGGGGAAUAUUGGACAAUGGGCGAAAGCCUGAUCCAGCCAUGCCGCGUGUGUGAAGAAGGUCUUCGGAUUGUAAAGCACUUUAAGUUGGGAGGAAGGGCAGUUACCUAAUACGUAUCUGUUUUGACGUUACCGACAGAAUAAGCACCGGCUAACUCUGUGCCAGCAGCCGCGGUAAUACAGAGGGUGCAAGCGUUAAUCGGAAUUACUGGGCGUAAAGCGCGCGUAGGUGGUUCGUUAAGUUGGAUGUGAAAUCCCCGGGCUCAACCUGGGAACUGCAUU
rnacentral:rRNA from 1 species